CCUGCUGAGGAGAAGCCAGGGAGGAGGAGCCUCAGAAAUGAGGGCAAGUGGCCUCGGGACUGAGGAAGAGGACGGUGAGGGGAACAAAGGUAGGAGCCACCAGGCAGGCCCACAGGCUCGGGCAUGGCUGGGGUCACUAGAAGGGCUGGGUGCUGGUGUGUCAGCGCCCAAGGAGUCAGGGGAGUGCUGAGGGGGGCAUGGGUCCAAGGGGGACAGAGGGGUGGGAAAGGCAAGACCUGGGGCCUGGGCACCAGGAAGAAUGCACUUGCCCGAGGAGUGGGCGGCGAGUGUGAAGGCUGCCACCCCGUCCUGUGUGGGCUCAGAAGGAGGCCUCGAAGGGAAAACUGCCCUCCACACGUAUCAGCUCCCUCUGCUCUGAAAUGGGGCAAGAGCAGCACUGGUCUCACAGGGUUACUGUGAGGUUGGGUAAAGCACUGAGAGCAGCACCUGGCACUUAGGCAAUGGUUACUAAACGUUACCUUAAAAAAUGUAACUGCAAAAUAAAGUAACUGUAACCAGAAAGUAAGGUUUUGAGGAUAUUCACCCAACCCAGGCUCCUCAGCGGGUCUCUGAGCUUGACAGGGUCCUGAAGACCAAGCCCCACUAGCCUCCAUCAGUCUCCUUUCACCAGCCCCCGGACAAGAGGCGCCACCUGCCUGCCCCUCACCUGCCAGCCUCCCCAGGAGAGAGCCACGUGGGGGUGCAGGCCUCACCAGGACAUACCGUCUGUCUGUCUGUCAGCAGCUUGCUCUGGUCCGCUGUCCGCGCGUUAGCCCUCGGCUCUCCGCAUCCCACGGCCCCUCCACUUCCUCUUGCCAAAAGCUCCUGAAACCGGAGAAGGGAAGAAAGUGGAAACCAGGUGUCAGCCGCCUGUCAGUGCCACCGGCCACCUGCCCAGUCUGGGACCUGGAAGGCACCCCAGGGAGAGCAGGCAGGAAAGCCAUGGGACAGGGUCUGAGGGGGCAGCGUGGAGGUGGGAGAGGAGUAGGAGCACCGGGCUCCUGCCUGCUCUAUGAAGAGUCAUGCGUGUCUGAGUAUUGUUCAUGGUCGUGGCUUACACACAUGCCCAAUUCUGAAAUAGGCCUGUCCCUGUCCUGUCCCUCUCCUACCCCACAUCUGUCCUGUUCAUCUCUCAGCAUCUGCAAACAACUAAGAGGUUUGGAGAACAUGGGCUGCACAAGAGAAUACCAGGGAAAAGCCUCGUAGAGAUGUAAGAAGCUGCUGGAAAGAAGGCUCCUAGCAGUCUCCAGAAGGAACCCAAAGGCUACCUCCGUGUACACCAUGGUAAACAGACUCUGUGAUGAGGAGGGGAAGGCACAGGAGAGGAAAUCUAAAAAAGGCAGCAGUUUAGAGCAAUGAUGGUUCUCAAACAGGGUGACUUUGGUCCCCCCUCGCCCCCUCCUCAGGUAUCUGGCAAAUGUCUGAAGAUAUUUCUGGUUAUCACAACAGGAGUGGGUGCCAUUGGCAUGUAGUGGGUAGAGGCCAGGGCUGCUGCUAAACAUUCCGUGAUGCACGGGACACCCCCACGAGAAAGAAUGAUCAACACACAAUGUUGACAGUGCCACGGCUGAGAAACCCUGGCGUAGACACCCGAGUCUGGGGAGCUGAGAGGCUGGGGUCCCAGGCUCAGUGAUGCUGACUCACUGUGUGGCCCUUCCUCCCUGGAUAAGGCUUUCUCAUCUGCCCCCGGUGGCGGGACGGAGUCACCUGUGGUCCCCUCCAAGUUCUUGGGGUUCUGAGCUCUGCCCCCAUCUGUAAUAAACUAGGCUGCAGCAGGGGGGCAGCAGCCACCACAGGGACCAGCGGAGGCAGCAACCUUAGGUGGCCUUCUGGGCAUAAACAAUCUUCCUGCUGCCUUCACCUAAACAGAGCUCGGGGCUAGAGCGUGUGUUCCUGCUGUUGGGACAUGCCCUGGCCAUGACUCUUGUCACAUUCCAACAGGGCCUGAGGCAGGGAGAAGGUGAGGGUGUAGGGAGGGCGGGGAAGCAGGAGUGGCCUCCUCCUCUGUCUGAACAGCUUGGUCUCUGGCCUGGGGUUCUCGGGGAGCUGGGGUGUGACAGCAGGCACGAGCCGCCCACCCCCACCCCUUUGAUGGUGAAGCAGAACGUGUCCCCACAGGGCACAAGCAGCAUGCUGUGCCGAGCUGACUCCCUGCACAGGAAUCCGGGCGGGCCUGAAGGGACAGUACAUUCCUGGGCUGUGGGGAGCAGACAAGUCACCCCCACAGGUCCCCCAGGGCUACCCCUCCAGAGGGCCCCAGGGGGAGAGUUCCUAUGGCCUGGGGGAGAGGCCGGGCAGCCCAAACCAGCCUGGGUACCUGGAUUCCGAUACACAGGGGGUGGAAGUGGAGGUGUGUGUUUGAGCUGGGAAGGUGUGUAGAGCCAGAAACACAGGAGCAAGUGUUACACGCAGCCAAAGAGAUUCUACAAAACCCAGGGGAGGCUCCUGUGCUGGCCUCUGCCUUCUCUCCUUUUCUAUGGAGAAUCCAGGCCCCAGCUCCCAUCUGAUCCCCAGUCAGCUGGGUAGCCCCUCUUUCCCUGCAGGCCCCUUUACGGACCCUCCUCUAUUCUCAGCUGCUGCUUUCCUUCCCUACCCUGUUCCUGCCGAUGCCCACGCUGUCCCCGAGGCGCCAGGACAUGCGUAUGGGCAGGGAGGACACUGACUGCUCAGGUAUCUGGUAAUUCUACCUGUAAGGAGAGCAGCCUCACGCCGCGCUCCGCAGCCCUCACUCUAAUUGCCACGCAUCCCACAGCCCAUCCUGCCUCAUCCUGACCUCCAGUCCCCACGCCCCAGCCCCUCAGCACAUAUUCCCGGAGCUUCCGCAGCCAGCCAGUCGGGCUUGCUGAGGGGGCAGACAGAGUGGAUGUGGGUGGCAGUGAAAUGGGGAGUAGAUGCAGGCACGGACACUCUGGGACGGAUGGUGGGGAGACGGGCUGGUUCUCUCCCAGCCAGAGCCGACUCUUUUCAUGCACGUUAGUCACAGAGAGGGGAGCCACUCCCAACGGGGAACACAGAGGGCAAUGCCCACCAGGGAGCCUGCAGUAUCCCAAACGUAAGUCCACGAGGGAGAGUCUGUGCCACUCCCUGCCCCAUGUCCAUAAAUACCGGAGCCCUCGCUUUAACUCCUGAGAUCCGCUAAGUGCCCCAGAUUCAGCGUCUAGGGGCCCACGAUGCCGGCACUGAACAGGAACACACUGGGCCUGGCCGCCCGCUGUCCUGGACUAGAAGCGCCACAGGGAAGGACAGACCCAGGGGGAGAACGGUGCCAGGUGGUGUGGAGGACAGAACAAGAAGCAGCGGGACACCAAGCCGCAAGCUGGAGGAAGAUGAAAGCCCAUGGGGCAUGAUUAGCUGCCUCCGGAGAACAAAGUCUGCUUUCAUUGGAAAUGGUACUCUCACGCACAGUGAACCCGCACUGUGAACCUGAACAGCUGAGCAGAGAGUGUAGACAGAGACAGAUAUAAGGAGAAAUGUGUGCCAGAAGUUGGCCGAGCAGUAUCCUUUAAUCAAAGGACAAAAACUUCGCCAAGCUUCACUCUUUAACCAGGAGGUGGGACUCAUACCUGCUCCUUUUGUGUGGAUGUGAAGUAUGUGUAUGUGACCAGGGACUUUCACGGUGAUCAGGGAUCACCGCUGCUGCAGAUGGAGUCGUUUCCUGGAGAAAAUUCUUCAGAAUCCUGAUUCUCUCCAAACCACUAUCCUUACUCCUCCUCCCACCAAACACCCACAGGAGGCACCAGAGGAAGGUGCACGUCCAAGAGCCAAGGACGCCCUCUCGCUUCCUUCUGCCAUCCUUUCUCUGGGUUUCCCCAAGGCCCAGGGCAAAGUCAAAGGUGCAGAAGGGAGGUCCAAGCACCUCCUCUGAGGGCUGAGGCCACCCCCUCAACACGGCCCAGCGAGGGAGACUGAAUUGAAUCCAACAUGGGUGUGGCUCUUUGGCUUUUCAAACUUCUGCCUUCCCUCACCAGAUGUCUCCCCCGGUUCCAAGUUCUUCUCUACAACUUCACUGCCCAGUUCAGCUGCCCUGCCCUGGAAAGGCAGCCUGCCACCCCCACCCCCGCCCCCCAUCGCCCAUGCUCUUGUCAGGAAAUUAUGGCCCCGACAUUUAUCUGGGCUCAGACUAUUUCUGAACCUGAUGAUACGCCUUUCUGCUCAUAGCUGGCACUGAAUCAAGCAAGUGGGUCAAUGAACCCAACUUCUCAAUUACCAAGGGCCCCACAUCACCACCAAAAUCAUUCAAGCUCUUCUUCAUAAUUCACCCAAGAAAAGGCUAACGGAAAUCAGCAGUCACUACUGCUUUUAAAAUGAAAGGAAAACCAGCCCUUCUUUAGCAUACUCUAGCCUUGUUGUAUUCUGCCUUAAUUCCCUUGGAAUCCAGCAAGAGAAAAAUAAUAGAAAUAAAUACAGGCCCUUCCAUAGCUCCCAAUCAACUGCUAAAACAUGCAUGUCUGAUCACACAGGAACUAGCGCCUCCUCUGUGAGAACUGUCCUCAGCUAACAGCUAAUUGUUAGCUAACAGCUGUACGUAGUCUCUGAACUCUGUAAGCCUGGAGAAAGCUGCACCGCAAGCUCCUGAAAGCCAGCCUCUGCCUCCAACCGAGGCCCAAGAAAUACAGACUACCCCCCUGCAAGGGCCAGCCCUGUAACCAGGUGACUGGGCAGGGGCUCCACCAGCAUGAGUACGGCCCUCUCCCCCGGGGCUCAGUGAACAGCGGAACAGUCCCUCAGCACGGUGAGCGGAUCCUAAAAGAGCUGCUGGGGCUCAACUCUCCCCACACCGGCCCCAGGUGCCCCUCCCACUUGCAACCAGCCCCCAGUUUCCGGCAUGCAGCUGUUCCUGCGAUACAUGAGCAAAGCCCUCAGCAAUCCUGGGCGCGUGGCGGGCAAGCAUCCAGCAGCUCAUGGAGCGGGGCCUGGGCAGGCUCUGUUCUGGGCUGAUGACUCGGCUAGAAGAUGCCAGUCUGUGCCCAGACUGGCCCUGCUGCCCCUCUGACAGCCAUGCUGCCACCCCUCUGGGCAAGUACAAUCUCACCCUCUUGGGACAAGCUGCCUGGGGCCCUGAUCUGGCCUCAUGCCUGCUCAAAGAGGAACAGACUGACAGGUUUUUAAAAGCCAAAAUGGGCGGGUAUUAUUCUGUCACAGAGUAAUCCUGAGGACUCAAAACUAGAGCUGUGACCUUCAGUGCUCACCUGGCUCCCCACCUGAGCAAAUACCUCAAGUCUAUCACCUGACUUCAUUCAAGCAAACACUAGACAGGAACAAAGGGGCUAAAGACGACUGAUGAUCCAACCAAACCAACCCCCCUCCUAUAAAGAGAGGGCCAACAUAUCCCCAAGAUCAUAAGCAGCACUUGACAGUGGUCCCCAUGCCCUCUCCUAAGAUGCAAGAACCAAGUGAGAGGUGGCCCUGAACUAAGCCUCCCCUCCAGUUUCCUUUGGCUUUCCUGGUCAGAGCCAAGCCACAAACCCCUCCAGCUUGCUAACUCAGGGUCCCUAAACGUCUGAGUAGCAUCUACCAGCUCUCACAUUUACACCCCCCCACCCCCACCCCCCACUAGUAGACAGCUCACUACCUUCUCCCUCCCAGCCCAAUAGUACAGAACCACUGUGCGGACCAGCAGGUCUCCAGUUUCCCUAUCCAGCCUACCCCAUACUGCACGGCCUCCAGAGGCAGGAGACAUAGUCUGUCUAAAGAGUUACCUGUGGCCCUAGCCGGCUUGGCUCAGUGGAUAGAGGUCAGCCUGCGGACUGAAGGGUCACAGGUUGAUUC